rnacentral:rRNA from 1 species
UACAGAGGUCCCGAGCGUUGUUCGGAUUUAUUGGGCGCAAAGGGUGCGUAGGCGGCGGAGUAAGUUGGGUGUGAAAUCCCGGGGCUUAACCUCGGAAUGGCAUUCAAUACUGCUUCGCUCGAGUACUGGAGAGGAGGCUGGAAUUUACGGUGUAGCAGUGAAAUGCGUAGAUAUCGUAAGGAAGGCCGGUGGCGAAAGCGAGCCUCUGGACAGUUACUGACGCUGAUGCACGAAGGCCAGGGGAGCAAACGGG